GACGAACCGUACGAACGUUAUUCGGAAUCACUGGGCUUAAAGGGUGCGUAGGCGGCGCGACAAGUUGGGUGUGAAAUCCCUCGGCUCAACCGAGGAACUGCGCCCAAAACUGUCGUGCUCGAGGGAGACAGAGGUGAGCGGAACUUAGGGUGGAGCGGUGAAAUGCGUUGAUAUCCUAAGGAACACCGGUGGCGAAGGCGGCUUCUUGGGCCGUUUCUGACGCUGAGGCGCGAAAGCCAGGGGAGCGAACGGG
rnacentral:rRNA from 1 species